rnacentral:rRNA from 1 species
AUUGAACGCUGGCGGCAGGCCUAACACAUGCAAGUCGAGCGGAUGAAGGGAGCUUGCUCCUGGAUUCAGCGGCGGACGGGUGAGUAAUGCCUAGGAAUCUGCCUGGUAGUGGGGGAUAACGUCCGGAAACGGGCGCUAAUACCGCAUACGUCCUGAUGGAGAAAGUGGGGGAUCUUCGGACCUCACGCUAUCAGAUGAGCCUAGGUCGGAUUAGCUAGUUGGUGGGGUAAAGGGCUACCAAGGCGACGAUCCGUAACUGGUCUGAGAGGAUGAUCAGUCACCCGGGAACGGAGACACGGUCCAGAGUCCUACGGGAGGCAGCAGUGGGGAAUAUUGGACAAUGGGCGAAAGCCUGAUCCAGCCAGGCCGCGUGUGUGAAGAAGGUCUUCGGAUUGGAAAGCAGGUUAAGUUGGGAGGAAGGGCAGUAAGUUAAUACCUUGCUGUUUUGACGUUACCAACAGAAUAAGCACCGGCUAACUUCGUG